UACGGAGGGGACUAGCGUUGUUCGGAAUUACUGGGCGUAAAGCGCACGUAGGCGUAUUUGUUAGUCAGGGGUGAAAUCCCGAGGCUCAACCUCGGAACUGCCUUUGAUACUGCAAAUCUCGAGUCCGGAAGAGGUGAGUGGUAUUCCUAGUGUAGAGGUGAAAUUCGUAGAUAUUAGGAAGAACACCAGUGGCGAAGGCGGCUCACUGGUCCGGUACUGACGCUGAGGUGCGAAAGCGUGGGGAGCAAACAGG
rnacentral:rRNA from 1 species